rnacentral:misc_RNA from 1 species
GAUGAAGAACGCAGCGAAAUGCGAUAAGUAAUGUGAAUUGCAGAAUUCAGUGAACCAUCGAAUCUUUGAACGCACAUUGCGCCCGCCAGUACUCUGGCGGGCAUGCCUGUCCGAGCGUCAUUUCAACCCUCAGGGCCCUCCAGCAGGGCGCUGGUGUUGGGGAUCGGCAGUCCCAGCGGCUGCCGUCCCUGAAAUGUAGUGGCGGUCCCACCGUGACCUCCCCUGUGCAGUACAUCGCUCGCAGAGGGACAGCGGUGCGGCCACGCCGUAAAACGCCCAACUCUUCAAGGUUGACCUCGGAUCAGGUAGGACUACCCGCUGAACUUAAGCAUAUCAAUAAGCGGAGGA